rnacentral:tRNA from 11 species
GCGGACGUGGCGGAAUUGGCAGACGCGCCAGAUUUAGGUUCUGGUACCGCAAGGUGUGAAGGUUCAAGUCCUUUCGUCCGCA